UACGUAGGGAGCAAGCGUUGUUCGGAUUUACUGGGCGUAAAGGGCGCGUAGGCGGCAACUCAAGUCGGAUGUGAAAGCCCUCGGCUUAACUGAGGAAGUGCACCCGAAACUGAGUAGCUAGAGUACCAAAGAGGGUCGCGGAAUUCCCGGUGUAGAGGUGAAAUUCGUAGAUAUCGGGAGGAACACCGGUGGCGAAGGCGGCGACCUGGGUGGAUACUGACGCUGAGGCGCGACAGCGUGGGGAGCAAACAGG
rnacentral:rRNA from 1 species